GCCCGCAAGCGGGCGCUGGUCUGUUUUUAACCUCGCGGUAAGGCGGGGUCUUCCUAGCCAGCGGGGGCGGAGUGGCGACUCUCCUCAAAGCGCGCCGUUUCUCUUUUCCCAGUUUUGAACCCGGUGAACUAGCUUUAGGAAGUUGGGAGUUCGCAGCUUUCCCACAGUGUCUGCAGAGUACAGUCAGCCACGGGCUAGCUCCUCACAUGCUGGGCUGUACUGUCUGAACCCUGAGAGAGACCGGGUUGGGAGUCCCACGUGCAGUGAUAAGAAGGCCUGGUUCCUAAGGACCCGCAUCUUGGACAAAGGUUCUUGAGCAAGAUAAUGGACUCGCCUCGCCAGUGGGUCAGCCCUCAGUGUUGGUGCCUGUAACUGUGCUAGUAGUCGAAAGUAUCUGUUAGACGAUGAGCCACGCAGUGGCUGCAGUGCUCAAGCCCCCACCUUACUGCUUUGAUGUGACAGUAUUGGACAGAAGGUACCUGAAGAAAUACGUCAGGAAUCCCGGGCUUCAACUCUGUUGUACAUCAUAGUAGUCCUAAAGCCGGCAUAGAAAUGAAAACUUCCAGAGUACUUGCCUUCACAAUGAGAAUAAUUAGACCGGGACAUUAAGUGUAUACACAGCACCCGCUGCGGGGAGCCCUAGACGCCGCCUUACCAUUAAAAACUUCCUUAAAGCACAGCAGGAAAAACCAGAGGGACCUUUAAGGGACAGGAAGAGUCGCUGCUUGGCACUGCGAAUAACAAAGAUCCAUAUGGCCAGAGCUGAUUAACCAAGGAGCAACCUGAACAAUACAAUCAAUUUUAGCAGUCAGUCAAUAAUGCUGGACUGAGGCCUUCACUCCAAUCUACAGCUGGGAGUCUAAGCACAGGGCUUGUAGAGUACACGUCAUAUGUGGAAGAAGACAAUCAACCAGAACAACAUGUUGUGGGGCCUUUGAUUUUGGAGGCUGUUAACAGGUCCGUAUACUGCAGCAUACUCUAGAGAGGAGACCCAGAGGAAGAGAAGAAGAGCACACACUGUGGAGGCAAGAGGCAAAUUGCUAAGAGGUUGUAGCUGGGAGAAAGUAUUACUUUAGUAGGUUUAUGAUUUGAUUCUUUAAGAGAAUGAGACUAUAGGAAUCAGGAGUGAAUAGUCUAAGUUAUGAUAAUUGAUUACUCAAAAAGAAGAGAGAUGCAGUAAGAGAGUAAGAGCUGAUACUGUACAGAGAUGAGUAGGGAAACAAGGACAAAGAGGAAGAGGGAUGUGAAUAAAGAAUUGUGGAUUGUAAGAUAAAAGUACUGCCUGAAUAAAUAGUACUCAGUAUAUUGACAUUAUUUUAAGAUAUUUGAAACACUGCCUGCUCCACAGGCAAGCUGAGUACAAGCCUAUCCCCCAGCUCUAUUAGGUCUGUAUGGCAAGUAGUACCCAAAAAGUGGCACAUACCUUAUAAAGAACUACAAGUUCCCAUCUCACUACUUAUUUUCAGGCAAGGCCUCAGGGAAACUAGGUCAAGUGUUUUAGAGUUUAGGAACUUCAGAAGUCUGUGUGAUAUGUCCCAACAUGCUUCAUACUACAUUUCUCUUUGCUUUGAGCCAGAACAGAAUUUCAAACUUUAACUGACUCCUCCAUUUUCCCACUCCUCAAGUUCACAGCCAUAAUGACUAUGCCUUGAUUAGGUUCAACUAAUAAUUUUAUUACUUUCUUGAGGAUUGGAAUGGUGAAAAGAGGAUGAGGAAGAGCCAGAGAAUGUAAGAAAAGUUUCCCUCUGGACAAGAGAACUGGGUUGUUACAGUGCUAUGAAAAGCAGUUCUCUGAGGGCUUCAUCUACUACUGCACCUUCUGUGACAUAAAAACCCAGAUAUUGUAGGGUCAGGGAGUGAAUGUUUUCAUCUAGUGUUUCAUAUACUUGUUAUUUAAGCACUGGCACUGUGAUGAGUAAUAGAAAAUGAAAGUGUUACUCCCAACACUAUUUUUGCCUUCCCAAAUUCUUCAGAGAGUUCAGAACUCCAAAAAUGUUACUUAGGCACUUUAUCUGGAGGCUUCUCUUCUGGCUAUACUUUUAGAGAUGUAAGUAUAUGUUUUAGUUACUAAGAAAAAAUACCUGACACUUGAAGUUAAAGAAGGAGGUUUAUUUCAUCUCAGCUUGUAGAGGCUUCACUCUAUAGUCAGCGGGUUCCAAAGUAGGAUGGCAUGGCAAAAAAUUGUCAUAGAAGUGAAAUAACACUUCAUGGCAUGGAAAGCAGUGAGCAGAAAACAAGCAGCAAGUAAUGGUACCAAUCGUCUUCCUGUCCCUUAUAUGCUGUCCAGGCUACCUUCCCUGGGGCAACACACCAUUCCAGUGUGAAAACCUUAAUCCCAGAAUCACAUAGCCCAAAUCCAGUCACUUCCAAGAAGCCCCACCUAUGACCACAUGAGUGUUUUCAGAGACAUCUAGGUAUGCCACAACAGUGUAUCAUAGCUAAGUUUUAGUCCUGACCACUAAUAGCAUAUAGGGUGGCUCCUCUGAGCAGAUAGAGGCAAGAGUGCUCUUUUUGCUGAUUGCAUUCCUGUGCCACAAUACAUGGUUUGAUUAAUCAUAUGUGAAUGGCAUUUCAGCUUCCUUUUGCUCCUUCAGUUGAGAGUCUUUUGACAGAGCUCACAUAUACUAACAUGUUCAUGUUUGCAAUUCACUCAUGCUAAUAUAUGUACACCUUAACAAGCGCAUACAAAUGUAAUUACACAUUCAUUCAUACAGGUGAAUGUGCUCACAUUCAUGUGCCACAUUACAAGUUGACUCACACAGAUAUGUGCACUCACAGACAAGCUCAUAGUUUCUCUCAAAUAUACUCGUAUAUUGAAAACAUCAUAAUAAAAUAUGUUUAUAAAUUCACUCACACACACAAACAUGCUGAUAUUUGCACAUGUGAUCAUACUCUUCUUUGGCCACGUGAACAUGCAUAUUUACUGAAAGAGACAGCUGUACUCAUAUUAAGACACUCACAAUUGAACAAGCUCAUGUAUUCACUGCCUGACAUGGGCACUGUUGUAUAAAGAAGCCAAAGAUGACCUUUUGUAUUGACCCUAUGUUGUUUACUUCUUCACAGAUGGCUGGAACCUAUUAGCUCAAAAGCCAGCUGGCACUUAACUUGAGUUUUACAUAGUCAGUUGUUUCAAAUGUAUCCCAAAAUAAACAAAAUUUUAGCUAUUCAGAGCCUGUUUUGCAUUCUCUGCAAAAUUUCAACUAACAUCUGUUACCCAUAGAUAAAAAUGAAUCUUAUAGCUAUAAAAGACCUUGAGUCACUGAAGUUCUUUAACACUUUCUGACCCAGAGACCUCCUGUCAUGCUGCUGAAUAGCAUUAUCUAAAUAUGCAGGCCUUCUCACUGAUUCCAAGUUUUCUCUGGGAAAUCCUUUGCCUCCUUCUAGAAAGUUUUCCAUUGUGAGGAUGUCCUGCUCAGGUAAAGCUGUGAGUGUUCUUCAAACAAAGAUUAUCACAGGCAUUUUCCUCUCGAUUAGCUCCUGAUUCUCUUGAAAAAAGGAAAAAAUAUUGGAGUUGAUUAGGAAAUUGAUAUGAAGCUCAUCCAGUCAUUAUGUCAGUUAUCCAAGAUAGGUUCAAAUGAUUGGUACUAAAAUUUUUGAAUAUCUUCAGUUGGUAUGAUUUUUUUUAAAUUUUAAAUUUAUUUAUCAAAAGAAAGAAAGAAAGAAAGAAAAAAAGAAAGAAAGAAAGACAACAAAAUAGAAAAGAGCUAGAAUAAUACAGAAUCCAAAAAAAAAAAAAAAUAACACUAGGAAACCACUAGUUGAUACAUUACAUAGUCAUCUUAGAAAUAGUUGUUCAAGACAAAAUCAGAGCACAAAAAGUGGAUAGACACUCAAACAUUGACAGUGCAAACCAUUCUGUUCAAUAAUCCAACAGAAAUUUAGUAAUAUGUUCAUCUAUCUUACACACUUAUAGGCACCAUUUUAUCUUUAGAGCACUUUCACUUUUACAAUAUUAUAUAUUUUGGAUCUUAUUACUCUUUCAGUUUUUAUUGUUUUUUACACUAGAGAUACAAUGUGAUAUUUACUUUGUUGGCACGAUAUUGCUUUGUACAAUAUUCCAUUUUUAUUUUGUAUGGCUCUCCAAGUGCCUGAUUGAGUCAAAUAGCAGUAGCACUGUCAUUUGAAUGAAUGAAUGAACUAAUGCUGUUUUAACUGACUUUUGUGGUUAGAAGUAUGUGGCUCCAUGAGAAAGAUCAGUCUGCCCUGUAGGACUAAAUAGAAAAAGAAAAUUACAUACCUCAACACACCUUUGAAGCCCAUGCCGGAAGAUUUGAAGUUUCUGAGAUAAAAGCACUUCCCUCUCUUUGGGCCCUACCAAUGGCAGGUUGGCAGGUAAAUGAGCUAAUAAUCCAGAGAUACCAGGCCAAGGCUGAUCACUUAAGCAGAGUUGGGAGGAGAAACCUUUAUAAAGGUAGUAUGACUAUAUUGUUAUUUGAAUUUGCUUUUGCAGAAGACAUUACUCUAUGUCCUCCUUCAAAGAUAUGUACUUGUACAACUUCUCCAGGAUUGAUGUAUUCACUCUGUACUGUAAACAUGUGCUAAUAAAAGAGGAGUAUGGUGAGACCCAA